rnacentral:rRNA from 1 species
UGCAAGUCGAACGGCAGCACGGACUUCGGUCUGGUGGCGAGUGGCGAAUGGGUGAGUAAUAUAUCGGAACGUGCCCAGUCGUGGGGGAUAACGUAGUGAAAAUUACGCUAAUACCGCGUACGAUCUAAGGAUGAAAGCGGGGGAUCGCAAGACCUCGCGCGAUUGGAGCGGCCGAUAUCGGAUUAGCUAGUUGGUGAGGUAAAGGCUCACCAAGGCGACGAUCCGUAGCUGGUUUGAGAGGACGACCAGCCACACUGGGACUGAGACACGGCCCAGACUCCUACGGGAGGCAGCAGUGGGGAAUUUUGGACAAUGGGGGAAACCCUGAUCCAGCCAUUCCGCGUGUGCGAUGAAGGCCUUCGGGUUGUAAAGCACUUUUGGCAGGAAAGAAAUCGCAUGGAUUAAUACUCUGUGUGGAUGACGGUACCUGCAGAAUAAGCACCGGCUAACUACGUGCCAGCAGCCGCGGUAAUACGUAGGGUGCAAGCGUUAAUCGGAAUUACUGGGCGUAAAGCGUGCGCAGGCGGUUCGGAAAGAAAGGUGUGAAAUCCCAGGGCUUAACCUUGGAACUGCACUUUUAACUACCGAGCUAGAGUAUGUCAGAGGGGGGUGGAAUUCCGCGUGUAGCAGUGAAAUGCGUAGAUAUGCGGAGGAACACCGAUG